rnacentral:rRNA from 1 species
UACGAAGGGUGCAAGCGUUAACCGGAAUUACUGGGCGUAAAGCGUGCGUAGGCGGUUUCUUAAGUCUGCUGUGAAAUCCCCGGGCUCAACCUGGGAAUGGCAGUGGAUACUGGGAGGCUAGAGUGUGUCAGAGGAUGGUGGAAUUCCCGGUGUAGCGGUGAAAUGCGUAGAGAUCGGGAGGAACAUCAGUGGCGAAGGCGGCCAUCUGGGACAACACUGACGCUGAGGCACGAAAGCGUGGGGAGCAAACAGG